GAUGAACGCUGGCGGCGUGCCUAAUACAUGCAAGUCGAGCGAACGGACGAGAAGCUUGCUUCUCUGAUGUUAGCGGCGGACGGGUGAGUAACACGUGGAUAACCUACCUAUAAGACUGGGAUAACUUCGGGAAACCGGAGCUAAUACCGGAUAAUAUUUUGAACCGCAUGGUUCAAAAGUGAAAGUCGGUCUUGCUGUCACUUAUAGAUGGAUCCGCGCUGCAUUAGCUAGUUGGUAAGGUAACGGCUUACCAAGGCAACGAUGCAUAGCCGACCUGAGAGGGUGAUCGGCCACACUGGAACUGAGACACGGUCCAGACUCCUACGGGAGGCAGCAGUAGGGAAUCUUCCGCAAUGGGCGAAAGCCUGACGGAGCAACGCCGCGUGAGUGAUGAAGGUCUUCGGAUCGUAAAACUCUGUUAUUAGGGAAGAACAUAUGUGUAAGUAACUGUGCACAUCUUGACGGUACCUGAUCAGAAAGCCACGGCUAACUACGUG
rnacentral:rRNA from 1 species